GACCUCUCGUGUCGAAAACAGUGAGUGCACCUCUAACCAUCAACAGCUCUACUUACUUGCAGAGGAAUAUCCUGAGCGCACGUCACGUUGUGUUGCAGACCAAUAUCCACCACAGUAUGCAAAUGUGACUUUGUCAAGCACAGUCUCCUGUAGUGUAGAUUACUCGAACAAGGGCGAAAUGAUUUCAUUUGAAACUUUGAUCGACAAUCUUGAAGUAGAUGUGGAUCAUGCAUCCUCGACCUAACGUGAUGGACAAACACAUUGGAAGUUUUGACAACGGCGUUGAAGAUUUUGGAGAUACUGGAAUGUAACGUGCCGUGAGAGUUCUUAUAACUGCUGUAUAAAGACUUGAAAGUUAGCAUGAAAAAUAUUGCCACGUUUCACAGAUGGACCAGUUGUAAUUAUCGACAAUGCCAACAGGUUAGAGAACUUAUACCUUACACUGAAGACCAAGACGAAAGUCAAGGGGCCUCUCUUCACGGAAGCGGACAUAAAAUCCCAACAUCGUGCGGCACUGACACAAUCUGCCAGACCGCAUAAUAUGAAAUUGUUGUUAUUGUUAAAUCCAAACAUUCAGAACACUACAGCCAAGCCCGAACCAGCUGCAUUAUCUCCACGGGGACACCUCACUGUGCCCUCGCUAUUGUUCUGGGGAAAAGGGCAGUCAGCCCUGGCACAUGGGGAGACAAUAGGGUGAUUAACUAUAGUCUGUUGCAGAAAAUCAGGCCAACAAAGGAGGACGCAGUAUCGGUAUACUCAACAGGAGGUCUUCUGCCGGUCAUACGUUCAUUCUUUUCACUGAGAAUACUGAGAAGCCUGAAGGUCUCAGCAUUGGACUGUUCCUUCCUGAUGUCUACCUACUUGCAGAUGUUGGGGUGGUUAGAACAGGCUUGCUCUCACUCCGAACUUUGGUUUUCAGGUUAGGGAGGAAUUCUUGAAUGACAAUAUCCUUGGCAUCUCCAGGAUCGUAUAUAUCACGAUUAGUUGUAAUAAAGCUGUUUGAAGUGUU